AUUGAACGCUGGCGGCAGGCCUAACACAUGCAAGUCGAGCGGGGUUUUCGGACCUAGCGGCGGACGGGUGAGUAAUGCGUAGGAAGCUGCCCGAUAGAGGGGGAUACCAGUUGGAAACGACUGUUAAUACCGCAUAAUGUCUACGGACCAAAGUGUGGGACCUUCGGGCCACAUGCUAUCGGAUGCGCCUACGUGGGAUUAGCUAGUUGGUGAGGUAAUGGCUCACCAAGGCGACGAUCUCUAGCCGGUUUGAGAGGAUGAUCAGCCACACUGGAACUGGGACACGGUCCAGACUCCUACGGGAGGCAGCAGUGGGGAAUAUUAGACAAUGGGCGCAAGCCUGAUCCAGCCAUGCCGCGUGUGUGAAGAAGGCCUUCGGGUUGUAAAGCACUUUCAGCGAGGAGGAAGGGUGGUGUGUUAAUAGCACAUCAUUUUGACGUUACUCGCAGAAGAAGCACCGGCUAACUCUGUGCCAGCCGCCGCAGUAACAC
rnacentral:rRNA from 1 species